rnacentral:rRNA from 1 species
CUCCCAACCCUAAAUACAAACCGAGACCGAUAGCGCAAUAGUAGCGUGAGCGAAAGUUGUAAAGCAUCCCUGGCGGGAGAUUAAUAAGACCCUGAAAUCAGGUGGUUACAGACUGGUAUGGCGUGCAAGGGAUUAAGCGGUUACACCGCCGCACCGACGUCAUGCCGUUCGAUUCGAAAAUUGAUCCGUGGAGUUCCUAUCAUUGGCGAGGUUAAGUACGCAGGUACGAAGCCGUAGGGAAACCGAUAGCCCGCAGCGCAAGCGAGGGGCAAGGUGUGCUCGCCUGAAGUCAAUGGUUGGAUACCCGAAGCCGGUCGAUCUAUGCCUGGGCAGGGUGAAGCCUUUCGGAAGAAGGGUGGAGGCCCGAACCAGUACUGAUGUGCAAAUCGUUUGGAUGACCUGGGUAUAGGGGCGAAAGACCAAUCUAGACCGGUAAUAGCUGGUUCCUCUCGAAACUGCUCGCAGGCAGACCUCAGCUGAGACGGGGCAUGCGGUAGAGCACUGAUUGCGUGUUUAGGGAACGAAAGUUCUCGGCAUACUGUCAAACUCCGAAUGUGUGUCCGUUGUAGAAGCUGGGCAGUGAGGGCAUCGGGGUAAGCUUGAUGUCCAUAAGGAAAACAAACCAGACCAAAGUUAAGGUCCCUAAGUAACAGCUAAGUGUUAAAGAACAAAUAGUGUUUGAAGGCAUAGACAGCUGGAAGGUUGGCUUAGAGGCAGCCAUCCUUUAAAGAGUUCGUAACAGAUCACCAGUCAAGUCUCUGAGCCUAGAAAAUGGACGGGACUAAGUUGUUCACCGAUACUUUGGGCCACCGAAAGGUGAUGCGGUAGAGAGGCGUCGUGCGCGGGUGGAAGUGGGGCCGUGAGGUCCUGUGGACCGCGUUCGAAUGAUAAUCAUGGAAAUAGUAGUAGCGUAGAUGGGUGAGAAUCCCAUCCGCCGGAGGGGCUAGGGUUCCUCGACGAUGUUCAUCAGUCGAGGGUUAGUCGGUCCUAAGGUUCCCCCUAACAGGAGGAAUCGAAAGGGAAGCAGGUUAAAAUUCCUGCACCAAUUCACAUUUUGUCCAUUUCCUGACACAUCGGGUCCAGUGGAACACUCUUGUCUGAGUGUUGCCUUCAGCAAUAAAUUUGCGGAGUACCGUAAUGGUGAGAAACAAACUAAGCUGUUGGGAGGCGAAGUAUUUCGCUUCUGCUCUAGCCUGGUGUCCGUGAAAAGGGAUCUGGAGUCGUGUGAGUUGUCCGUACCGAGAUCUGACACAGGUGCCCCUAGGUGAGUAGCCUAAGGCGUCGCGGCAGAAUCCGGGCGAGGGAAUUCGGCAAAUUAGCCCCGUACCUUUGGUAUAAGGGGUGCCAGCUCUGUAGAGAGCUGGUCGCAGUGACUAGGGAGCUCCGACUGUUUACUAAAAACACAGGUGGCUGCUAGUCCGUAAGGAUGAGUAUAGCCGCUGAAUCCUGCCCAGUGGUGGUAUCUGAAACCCGGUUACAACCGGACGAAGGACCGCUAAACGGCGGGGGUAACUAUGACCCUCUUAAGGUAGCGUAAUACCUUGUCGCUUAAUUGGCGACUUGCACGAACGGCCUAACGAGAGCUCUACUGUCCCCGCCCGGAGCCCGAUGAAAUUGACUUACUGGCGCACAGUCCAGUACGUCCCAGCCGCAAGCGAAGACCCCGUGGAGCUUUACUGCAACCUGCCGUUGUGGCACGAGUUGUUAUGUGUAGAGUAGCCGGGAGACAUUACACAGGUGCGAGCGCUAGCUCGUCGCCGAGUCAUUGAUGAAACACCGUCCUUUUCGAUUCGUCCCACUCACCUCUUCGGAGGAACCCCGGUAGGCGGGCAGUUUGGGUGGGGCGCCACUCCCUCGAAAAAAUAACAAGGGAGCCCAAAGGUCAGCUUAGGUAGGUCAGGAAUCUACCGUUAAGUGCAAGGGCAAAAGCUGGCUUGACGUGGUUUGGCAACACAACAAACCACGAUGCGAAAGCAGGGCCUAGCGAACCAACCAGCGCCGUUAGUAGGUGCGGUUGAUAACAGAAAAGUUACCCCGGGGAUAACUGAGUUGUCUGGAGCAAGAGCCCACAUCGACCUCCAGGCUUGCUACUUCGAUGUCGUCUCUUCCUAUCCUGGGUGUGCAGAAGCACCCAAGGGUGGGGUUGUUCGCCCAUUAAAAGGGAUCGUGAGAUGGGUUUAGACCGUCGUGAGACAG